CCAGCGACUGGUCCCCCCAACUGAUUUCCCCCGCCCCCUCCCUGGCCGGCACUUUGGGGAGGAAUGGAGGAAGCGCCUUUCCCCUUUCGGACAGGAAUGAAGCCGUGGGGUCUGACCUCCCCCUGCCCUGAAGGAGUUAUGGAGGGGAGCGAGCAGGGCCUGUGCGAGAAUUGUCUUUUGUGAAAGGAAGAAAACGUGCUUGCCCACCGUAAACUGUUUUUGAACAUAUUUCCAGUACAGUGGUGGUCCAGAAGAUGAUAAAGAAAUGAUAGCAGCUCCAGAAAUACCAACUGAUUUUACUCUCCUUCAGUAAGUAACAGUGCUUAAUGCAGCCAUAAGAAGGUUAUUCUGUCAAGUAGUUAGUGAUUUAAAUCUAAAGCAUUGCUUGAAUGGUGUCCUGUGUUUCCAGGGGAGUUAAAAUAGCAAUCGUAUAACUGGUUUAACUUUAUUUUUUACUAUAGAUUUUUAGAAUCUUUAAUGAGCGUUUUGCUAGUAGGAGAAGCUAUUGUCAUGGUCACAGAAUAGUUUCCAUUAUAAAAACAUUUUUCUGAUGCUUAUAACUUUCUGAAAAACUUUUCUUUUGGAUUAGAAAUUUUCUGGACAGAAAUAUGAGUAAUGUCAAGUCGACGUCUUUCUGUUUUUGGAGACAGAUGUUGAUUGAGGUCUUUUUUGAAGGGCUAGGGUUGCUUAAUCCUUAACCGAGAGUUGCUUUUUUGCCAAAUGUUUGUUCGUUAUAUAUAUGUAUAUGUGUGUGUUUUUGAUAAACUUGAAAUGAUAUCACUUCUCAGAUACCUGUGAUAUCUUCCUACUGGUUUUCCAGUCAUCCAUAAUCUUCCAGGGUAGACAAAAUCUGGGUUCCUAAUGUGGGUUGUUUUUGUUUUUUAAAUAGUGGAGGAAAAGCAAAAUGUAUCUCAUAGGUACAGACAGAAACCUUUUAGGCCUUCUUUAUACAUAAUCAAUUUUUUCCUUUGUAAUUCACUUUUAAGAAAUUCUAAAAACCCUUCUUUGAGUCAUGACUUCAGCUGAAAAGUACCUAAAAUUUGAUCUCUACUUGUAAUUAUUAAUGAAGAGUACCAACUUUCUUCGGGUUGGUUGGGAACAUUAAAAAAGGACUG
rnacentral:lncRNA from 1 species